rnacentral:rRNA from 1 species
AUUCCCUUACUCCCGGAGGCAGCAGUAGGGAAUAUUCCACAAUGAGCGAAAGCUUGAUGGAGCGACACAGCGUGCACGAUGAAGGUCUUCGGAUUGUAAAGUGCUGUUAUAAGGGAAGAACAUUUGCAAUAGGAAAUGAUUGCAGACUGACGGUACCUUGUCAGAAAGCGAUGGCUAACUAUGUGCCAGCAGCCGCGGUAAUACAUAGGUCGCAAGCGUUAUCCGGAAUUAUUGGGCGUAAAGCGUUCGUAGGCUGUUUGUUAAGUCUGGAGUUAAAUCCCGGGGCUCAACCCCGGCUCGCUUUGGAUACUAGCAAACUAGAGUUAGAUAGAGGUAAGCGGAAUUCCAUGUGAAGCGGUGAAAUGCGUAGAUAUAUGGAAGAACACCAAAGGCGAAGGCAGCUUACUGGGUCUAUACUGACGCUGAGGGACGAAAGCGUGGGGAGCAAACAGGAUUAGAUACCCUGGUAGUCCACGCCGUAAACGAUGAUCAUUAGUCGGUGGAGAAUCACUGACGCAGCUAACGCAUUAAAUGAUCCGCCUGAGUAGUAUGCUCGCAAGAGUGAAACUUAAAGGAAUUGACGGGGACCCGCACAAGCGGUGGAGCAUGUGGUUUAAUUUGAAGAUACACGGAAAACCUUACCCACUCUUGACAUCCUUCGCAAAGCUAUAGAGAUAUAGUGGAGGUUAACAGAGUGACAGAAUGG